rnacentral:rRNA from 1 species
UGGGGAAUUUUGGACAAUGGGGGCAACCCUGAUCCAGCAAUGCCGCGUGAGUGAAGAAGGCCUUCGGGUUGUAAAGCUCUUUUGUCAGGGAAGAAACGGUAGUAGCGAAUAACUACUACUAAUGACGGUACCUGAAGAAUAAGCACCGGCUAACUACGUGCCAGCAGCCGCGGUAAUACGUAGGGUGCAAGCGUUAAUCGGAAUUACUGGGCGUAAAGCGUGCGCAGGCGGUUGUGUAAGUCAGAUGUGAAAUCCCCGGGCUCAACCUGGGAAUUGCAUUUGAGACUGCACGGCUAGAGUGUGUCAGAGGGGGUAGAAUCCCACGUGUAGCAGUGAAAUGCGUAGAUAUGUGGAGGAAUACCGAUGGCGAAGGCAGCCCCCUGGGAUAACACUGACGCUCAUGCACGAAAGCGUGGGGAGCAAACAGGAUUAGAUACCCUAGUAGUCCCUGAGCGGGCUGGCAAGGCGCAU